ensembl:lncRNA
CAGAUCCCAGGGUAGGCCAAGGGCUCCAGCCAGAGAGUAUCAGGAGAGGAGCAAGGUGCUUGCAUGGUCUCCCUGCAAAGCCCAGUUUCCACCAGGAAAGCAACCAAUAGUCCUUGCAGGGGACUAGUGCCAUCAUAAUUAGCCACUCUGGACUCCUCCAGGCACAGGCCCAGGUGGUACAGGUAAAGGCUGCUACACAGGUGGGCAGGCUUUUGUGGAGGCCUCUUCAGAGUGGAGGGAAACUGCAUUACAGGUAAAGCCCCUUGGACCUUGUGAGAGCCUUUGGAGUUGUUUGAAGCCAGCCAGAUCUCACAAUCCUGGGAGAAGCAUUGCUGCUCUCACGGUGAAGAUAAUGAAAAACUGAGUCUGGACACCAGAAUUUCAUUUUUUCAUGUUCUGCUCCACACAGAGCUCUGCAAGAAAAGACAAUGAGGAUCACAACCCCAGGAAACUCAGCAGAAUGAAUCCAUUGGGUGUGACAAAUUAAACGCAAAGGGAGAGAAUCCAACAAAAAGAAAAAGUCAUGACAAGGCUUUUAAAAC